AUGCAGGAGCAUGCGGUCCCUACUCAGGGCCCCAGCGCUGUGUUCCCCUUGGCCCCGUGCUGCAGCACCAACAACAACAACUUCUUGACUCUGGGCUGCCUGGUCCUGGGCUACUUCCCGGAACCAGUGACUGUGACCUGGGACACAGGUUCCCUCAACAAGACUGUCAUGACCUUCCCAGCCAUCUCCCUUGGGACCUCUGGACUAUACGCCACCACCAGCAGCGUGACUGCCAUGGGCGCAUGGGCCAAGCAGCAGUUCACCUGCAGCGUGGUGCAUGCUCCGUCCAACAGCCAUGUCAACAAGACUUUUGCAGCAUGCUCCACUCACUUCUCCCUACCUGUCGUGAAGCUGUUCCACUCCUCCUGUGACCCCAAUGAGGGCACCUCCUCCACCGUCCAGCUCCUGUGCCUCAUUUCCAGCUAUAGCCCGGGUGCCAUUAAGGUCACCUGGCUGGUGGAUGGACAGGUAGACAACAGUGCCUCCCAGUAUACUGCCCCAGCCAAGGUGGAGGGCAAACUAGCCUCCAUACAGAGUGAGUUCAACAUCUCCCUGGACGAGUGGGUGUCCGAGAGGACCUACACCUGCCAAGUCACCUACCGAGGACACAUCUUUGAGGACAGCACCCGGUGGUGCACAGACUCCGAGCCUCGAGGGGUGACCGCCUACCUGAGCCCACCCAGCCCCCUGGAGCUGUAUGUCCACAAGUCACCCAAGAUCACCUGCCUAGUGGUGGACCUGGCCAGCAAGGAACAUGUCAGCCUGGUCUGGUCCCGAGACAGUGGCAAACCUGUGAUGCCAGGUCCCCUGGUGUUCAAGAAACAGUACAAUGGGACGGUCACUGUCACAUCCACCCUGCCAGUGGACGCCAGUGACUGGAUCAUGGGUGAGACCUACCAGUGCAAGGUGAACCACCCUGACCUACCCAGGGACCUCAUCCGGACCAUCACCAAGGCCCCUGGCAAACGGGUCCCCCCAGAAGUCUACGUGUUCCCACCACCUGAGGAGCAGGAGCAGGAGCCCCGGGACAAUCUCACCCUCACCUGCCUGAUCCAAAACUUCUUCCCGGCGGACAUCUCAGUGCAGUGGCUGUGUGACAAAAUGCCGGUGCAGGACAGUCAGCAAAGCACGACACUGCCCCGCAAGGCCCAUAGCUCCAGCCCUACCUUCUUUGUGUUCAGCCGCUUGGAGGUGGCCAGGGCAGACUGGGAGCAGAACAAAGAAUUUGCCUGCUGUGUGGUCCACGAGGCGCUGUCCAGCAGCAAUAGGACCCUCGAGAAAGUGGUGUCCAAAAAACCCGGUAAAUGAUGUCCUCAUGUCCCUCCCUCCCAGGGCUCUGUCUGGCUGGGGGAGGGGAAGACAGUCAGACAGCCAGACCUCUCUCCACCUUUGUGCCAACACUGAGAAGCCAC